UACGAAGGGGGCUAGCGUUGCUCGGAAUCACUGGGCGUAAAGCGCACGUAGGCGGAUUGUUAAGUCAGGGGUGAAAUCCCAGAGCUCAACUCUGGAACUGCCUUUGAUACUGGCGAUCUUGAGUCCGGAAGAGGUGAGUGGAACUCCGAGUGUAGAGGUGAAAUUCGUAGAUAUUCGGAAGAACACCAGUGGCGAAGGCGGCUCACUGGUCCGGUACUGACGCUGAGGCACGAAAGCGUGGGGAGCAAACAGG
rnacentral:rRNA from 1 species